UAAGUCAGUCAGGAUAGCGGUAGACUGUAAAUCCAAAGGCCCCGUGUUCGAAUCACAG
rnacentral:tRNA from 14 species